CUUGCACUAGAGAUAAAAAUCCCAAAUUUCACAUAUUCCCUUUCUACCAAUAUAAAGACAGAAUCUCUACACAAGAAAGAAUCAACAAGAAGAAUCUUUUUAUUGAAAAAUUCCAAACACUUCUUGACACGCACACAC